GGCGACGAUGCGUAGCCGACCUGAGAGGGUGAUCGGCCACACUGGGACUGAGACACGGCCCAGACUCCUACGGGAGGCAGCAGUAGGGAAUCUUCCGCAAUGGACGAAAGUCUGACGGAGCAACGCCGCGUGAGUGAUGAAGGUUUUCGGAUCGUAAAGCUCUGUUGUUAGGGAAGAACAAGUGCGAGAGUAACUGCUCGCACCUUGACGGUACCUAACCAGAAAGCCACGGCUAACUACGUGCCAGCAGCCGCGGUAAUACGUAGGUGGCAAGCGUUGUCCGGAAUUAUUGGGCGUAAAGGGCUCGCAGGCGGUUUCUUAAGUCUGAUGUGAAAGCCCCCGGCUCAACCGGGGAGGGUCAUUGGAAACUGGGAAACUUGAGUGCAGAAGAGGAGAGUGGAAUUCCACGUGUAGCGGUGA
rnacentral:rRNA from 2 species